CCUACGGGGGGCAGCAGUGGGGAAUUUUGGACAAUGGGGGCAACCCUGAUCCAGCCAUGCCGCGUGAGUGAAGAAGGCCUUCGGGUUGUAAAGCUCUUUCGGCCGGGAAGAAAUCGUAUCAGCUAAUACCUGGUGCGGAUGACGGUACCGGCAUAAGAAGCACCGGCUAACUACGUGCCAGCAGCCGCGGUAAUACGUAGGGUGCGAGCGUUAAUCGGAAUUACUGGGCGUAAAGCGUGCGCAGGCGGUUUUGUAAGACAGGCGUGAAAUCCCCG
rnacentral:rRNA from 1 species